ACCUCUGAGCCAUCUCUCCAGCCCAAAAACAUUUUUUAGAUAAAUAACUUCAGCUUUUAUGUAUCUCAACCUUAUAAACUUUACAUCUCCAGGGCUGGAGAGAUGGCUCAGAGGU
rnacentral:pre_miRNA from 1 species